UCUUCUUUUACUUGAAAUCUCAUCAUCCUGUCCUGGUUUACAUUUGCACCAGUGCUGUAUUGAAGCUUAAUGUAGGUGUAUAGACAUGUAGAAUAAAAUGGUUUUCGGUUCUUUGAAGGUUUUAUUUUCUUUACUCGUUAUGUUCUGGUCGGGUUUACAAUUGAAAGAAAGAUUCUUAGGUUUCUGCCAUCGGUAGUGUAGCACUAAUCUGUUUUCUCACAUUUCCCUUAUGUGUAUUAAAAGUCUCUAAAGAGGACUGUACCAACUUGAAACCUGCUGUUAUUUUAAACCAAUUAUUUGGUUUAUAAUAAAAACAUUGAUUUGUGAAAUAUUUUUACUGCUGUUACAAAAUAAUAUAAAUCAGGAAUAUAUCAUGUUAUAAUAUAUCAAAUUGGGCAGGCAAAGUAUGUUUUAUCAUGUGAUGUCACUGCCGAUAUUUGGUAUUUGUGAGGCGUUUCAUCACCUGGCUCAAAGUGCAAUAAAGUAAGACACAUAUUUUAUGGUAACUUAUUUUUUCCCAACCUCACAAAUAUUAAAUGUGUUUAGUUUUCA